UGAGGAAUAUUGGUCAAUGGGCGGGAGCCUGAACCAGCCAAGCCGCGUGAGGGAAGAAGGCCCUAUGGGUCGUAAACCUCUUUUGUCAGGGAACAAAAGCGAGUAUGUAUACUGGUCUGAGUGUACCUGAAGAAAAAGCAUCGGCUAACUCCGUGCCAGCAGCCGCGGUAAUACGGAGGAUGCGAGCGUUAUCCGGAUUUAUUGGGUUUAAAGGGUGCGUAGGCGGCGGUGCAAGUCAGCGGUAAAAGCCCGGGGGCUCAACCCCGGCGAGCCGUUGAAACUGCAAUGCUAGAGAAGGCGAGAGGUACGCGGAAUGCGCAGUGUAGCGGUGAAAUGCUUAGAUAUUGCGCAGAACUCCGAUUGCGAAGGCAGCGUACUGGCGCCUGACUGACGCUGAGGCACGAAAGCGUGGGGAUCGAACAGGAUUAGAUACC
rnacentral:rRNA from 1 species